GUAGGGUCUGGCCUCCAGCAGGACGCCCGGAUGAAAGUCAGCCCUGCGGCGUCGCCAACCGCAGCCCACAGCCUCCGCGGGCAGCGCAGCGGCGACCUCUCAGCUCCCGGGGCCCCCUCGGUCAGUGGCAGCGGGUGUCCCCGGCCACGGGGGCGACGUGAUCCCAGCUGGCGAGUGGCGAUGUCGCCAAGGACAUUCGUAGGACGGGACAGUGCCCACUCGAUAGAAAUUCCCCGUGCGCCGGGCUCUGCGCAGAAGCUUUUCGAGAUGACGCAGCGCCCUGGAGCUGGGGAGACGUUUACUGAGGUUGAAUAUCCGGGAUCUAAGUCCUGAAUAGUCCACCAUUGAUAAGUUGUGUGACUUGGAACAAAUUACUACCCCGCGUCGAUGUGGAGAGGAUUAAACAUUAACAGCGCGAUGUAAAUUCAAGCUGGUAAUACAGGAAAUAGUGAGGUGCCCAGCCCUUACCCCCACAAAGGAACAAAUAAGCCAGAUCACCGAUCACCCUGUGAAACCACCUUUCCUGCAGACACUGAAAAGAAGGAGGGAAUUGCAGCCCAAGGAGGACCCGCUCCACCAGGUGAACCGGGAAACUCCAGGAGGGAAACGCGUUG
rnacentral:lncRNA from 1 species